UUUAACACCCCUGAUUUAGAUGCUAAUAGAUUUGUAUUUAGUACCGCCAAGUCUAAAACUGAACAAACAACUGAUGGUUGGAUGGGAGAUUUGCACUGUGGAAAAAAAUGGCCAGAGGCCUGCACUGGAUGAACAUAUUACAGAAUGGAAGAAUAUAUUAAAUCGUGCCACAAUAUAAUUCAAGAAUUAAUUAAUUGACAGAUAUUAUUGGUUUCCAUUCAAAUGAACUGGACUCAACCUGAUGUGCACUUUGUUGGCCUUCUGCUUGGAUGAGUGACUGUGAGCCUCAACAAAAAGUAGAGCUUCGACCUGUCAAACAGGACUUUCAGACUAAAAGUGUGCUUAGGCCCAUUAUUGGCCUACCGUUUUAUCCUGCCUUGUGUCAUAUGCUGCAUUGGUAGCCAUCACUUCCCUGUGACUCUGCAAUGGAAAAAAGGGGUUGGUUCUCAUUAACUUGAACUGUAUUCAUUGACUGGGAUAAUUAAUGGACAUAUAGGCAUUUUUAAAAUUAUCUGAAAGGUUCAGUUGCAAUCAAGUGAUCUCUCGGUCUGUGACGCUGCCUCUGUCAAUAUCACGAUAGUGCGGAAAUAAAGAAAGAAGCAGGAAAACUGAGGAACAAACAAACCCGUAAGAAGACACGCACUCGAGUUCCCUUCCAUGUUUACAACAAGAGCAACCCCGUCCCGUUCUGAUGACAUCACUUUCCGGCUCCACGUUUCAACAUCACGAUGACGUCUCCUGGAUUUUCCCAUCAAUCCCGUUGUACCUAAUUUCUUGU